rnacentral:rRNA from 1 species
GCCGUAGCGAAAGCGAGUUUUAACUGAGCGUUCAGUUACUUGACGUAGACCCGAAACCGGGCGACCUACCCAUGAGCAGGAUGAAGCGAAAGUAAAAUUUCGUGGAGGUCCGAACCCACGAGCGUUGAAAAGCUCGGGGAUGACUUGUGGGUAGCGGUGAAAUUCCAAUCGAGCCCGGAGAUAGCUGGUUCUCCCCGAAAUAGCUUUAGGGCUAGCCUCAAGGUGAGAGAUACGGAGGUAGAGCACUGAAUGUCCUAGGGGGUAUUGCACCUACCGAAGACUAUCAAACUCCGAAUGCCGUCAUCUUAUACUUGGGAGUCAGACUGUGGGUGAUAAGAUUCAUAGUCGAAAGGGCAACAGCCCAGAUCGUCAGCUAAGGUCCCUAAAUGUAAGUUAAGUGGUAAAGGAUGUGGGAUUGCACAGACAACCAGGAUGUUGGCUUAGAAGCAGCCACUCAUUCAAAGAGUGCGUAAUAGCUCACUGGUCGAGUGAUCCUGCGCCGAAGAUUUCCGGGGCUAAAACUUACUACCGAAGCUACGGCAUCAGUAAUGAUGGGUAGGGGAGCUUCCCAUACGGGUUGAAGCAUGACCGUAAGGACAUGUGGACAGUAUGGGAGUGAGAAUGUUGGCAUGAGUAGCGAGAUGUGGGUGAGAAUCCCACAGGCCGUAAACCCAAGGUUUCCAGGGGAAGGUUCGUCCGCCCUGGGUUAGUCGGGACCUAAGCUGAGGCCGAAAGGCGUAGGUGAUGGACAACAGGUUGAUAUUCCUGUACUACCGAU